rnacentral:tRNA from 1 species
GCACUUGUGGUUCAGUGGUAGAAUUAGCGCCUUCCAUGCAGGAGACCUGGGUUCAAUUCCCGUCCAAUGCA